rnacentral:rRNA from 1 species
AACGAACGCUGGCGGCAGGCCUAACACAUGCAAGUCGAACGCCCCGCAAGGGGAGUGGCAGACGGGUGAGUAACGCGUGGGAACCUUCCCUAUGGUUCGGAAUAGCUCAGGGAAACCUGGGGUAAUACCGAAUAAGCCCUUCGGGGGAAAGAUUUAUCGCCAUUGGAUGGGCCCGCGUAGGAUUAGCUAGUUGGUGAGGUAAUGGCUCACCAAGGCGACGAUCCUUAGCUGGUCUGAGAGGAUGAUCAGCCACACUGGGACUGAGACACGGCCCAGACUCCUACGGGAGGCAGCAGUGGGGAAUAUUGGACAAUGGGCGCAAGCCUGAUCCAGCCAUGCCGCGUGAGUGAUGAAGGCCUUAGGGUUGUAAAGCUCUUUCACCGGAGAAGAUAAUGACGGUAUCCGGAGAAGAAGCCCCGGCUAACUUCGUGCCAGCAGCCGCAGUAACAC